AUGGAGGUGGAGGAGUGUGUGGCGGCCUUCGACAACAUCCGGGAGGAGCCGGAGCAGGUCCAGGUUCGGACCCCCGUGGAGCAAGUGGGUCCGGGAGCUUCGCCGACUAGGGCUUCACGGACAAGCACAGGGGUCGCGACAUUCAAGGCGGCGAACAUGAUGGACAAGGCCAUGGCCCUCAAAGCGAGUAAGGGAUUGCAAGGUGCAAUCUCCAAACCUAUUAUGCGAUCCAUGUCAUCUUUCAAGGUUUUAUCGUUGGCUUCAGAUGCGCAUCUGUUAAGAGUGGCCAAGGAGAGUAAUGUGAUUCUAGGGACGGAAGAUCGGUCUCCUUUAGAGGUGUUGGAGACAUUCAUAGCACAAGAAGAGGCGCAGGCGGCCAUAGCCGAGACCAUUGCUCGCCGGGACUUGGCAAGAACCGCUUUGGCUGAGUCCAAGGCACAGGUACUGGGCGACCCUACCAGGGAGAAGGUAGGGCCGUCGGGCCAUGCCGUGUCUGGACAUGGUUGGGGCCGGGGGCAUGGCCGUGGUCAUGGAAGGGGAAGUCCAGUAGAGGAGAGCAAACUAGCAACGGGGCGGGGACCCAAUCCCCUUUAG
rnacentral:rRNA from 1 species